UGCUCCGAAUACAGAGGGAAUAGUGCAGUC
rnacentral:piRNA from 1 species